rnacentral:misc_RNA from 1 species
GAAAUGCGAUAAGUAGUGUGAAUUGCAGAAUUCAGUGAAUCAUCGAAUCUUUGAACGCACAUUGCGCCCCUUGGUAUUCCAUGGGGCAUGCCUGUUCGAGCGUCAUUUGCACCCUCAAGCUCUGCUUGGUGUUGGGUGUUUGUCCCGUCUCCGCGCGUGGACUCGCCCCAAAGUGAUUGGCAGCCGGCGUACUGGUCCCGGAGCGCAGCACAUGUCGCGCAAACGAGUGCCUUGGUACGGCGGCGUCCAUAAGCCCCUCUCUCACGCUCUUGACCUCGGAUCAGGUAGGGAUACCCGCUGAACUUAAGC